rnacentral:rRNA from 1 species
GACAGAGGUGCCAAGCGUUAGGCGGAAUCACUGGGCUUAAAGCGUGUGUAGGCGGAAUGGUAAGUACCUUGUGAAAUCCCACGGCUCAACCGUGGAACUGCUUGGUAUACUGCUUUUCUUGAGCCACUUAGGGGCAACCGGAACAAACGGUGGAGCGGUGAAAUGCGUAGAUAUCGUGAGGAACACCAGAGGCGAAGGCGGCUACCUGGACAAUUGCUGACGCUCAGGCACGAAAGCGUGGGGAGCAAAAGGG